GUUUUGCCAGAACUUUGAAGAGGAGACUGGGCGGAUCGAACCAGAUAUGCAAGGGUCGCAACUCUAAAAAAGACUUCUGUUGUUGGAGAAGGAAUUAAUCCAUCACAGUGCUCCCUAAGAGGGCACAACCUGCUGCUAUGGUUCCUGAAACGACAUCAUUCUCUGCAAUCCAGUACAUGGGGACCUGCUCAGGAUGUGCCAGGUAAGAUCAUUUCAAAGCAGAGGGUGGCAAAUUUGAUGCAGUGAUUGCUGUCAAAUGGGCCGAGGUAAUUCUUUCCUGCAGAUAUGCUAUGGAUAAACAUGUAACAGUCCAUUGUUUUACUGAUUGUGUUGUCCUCGAUGAUUCACAUCUCAGAAUUUGUAAUGUAGCUGACAUGAUAGUAUCAUAUUAUUUUACUAUGAAGAACCCUUGAAUAGUUAUAAAGAAAUACUCGGUUCAACUAUGACUGCAUAUUGUGAUGUAACCAUACCAGGAACAAACCACGACUCGAGAUGAAUCACUUGCGUGAGAUUCCGAUUCGCCGAUCCAGUUCUAUGGCUGGACCUGAAGCCUCGAAGGCCGUUAGCAGGGAGAUGCCUGUUGAGUUGCUAAGCUUUCCCUCAUGAUGUGACAGUGUUUAGAGGCAAGAUUAGUUUCGCUUGCAGAACCAACAAUCUCCUUCAUCUGGGUGCUAGCUACAGUAUAUAAUGACCCAUAGUGUCCGAUGGCUAUAUUAUGGAGUAUAUCGGUUAUAGAUUAUGCAUGUCUGUGCAGUGGUGAACCAGAUGCCUCUUUGGAGGAACCUAGU